CGGAGCUAGGACGCCGUGGACGGCUCCAAGCAGAGCCGUGGCCCAUGACGGCAUGUUCUUCCCGAUCCAUGGCCCGGGAAACCUGCUUUCUAGUUACAGACAGGGAUGGUGAGCUCACUCAGGGUCAUCUCCUACCUAGUACCUACGCGGCCUAAAAAAACCUACGCCGCCUGGAUUAGUCACUUGCCGAAGCGGCGGAGCUCUGCUGCGAUUCUUGUGGGCGACCGGGCGAACGGAACCGGUGGACGCCAAUUAAGAGCCGCUGCACUACCUAGUGGCGCGGCCGGCUGAGGAGCCGCUAGCAGCUAUGGUGGAACUAAGUGCAGACGGCCAGAUCCAUGCGGCGGAAGGGGAAAUGGAUGCACAAGAAGGGUCGCCGAGAGCGUCGGAGCAGUCAAUUGGAUAGAUCGACCCUAGAGCUCCUGGCCGGAAAAGAAGGGUGAGAGUAGGUGUUGCUGUCCCAGGAAGGACGCCAUGUCCUAACCGGACUACUGCUCUGGAGAAGGCUAUCCAUGGUUUUGCCGACAAUCUUGGGGACAAUGUCAUAGUGCCAACUUUGGGUACAAUCUUUGAUUCUCUAGGGAAAGGCGGGGUUUGAGAACACUAUGUCGUGUCGUUGCGAUUGCCUUGCUCUCAUCAGGUUGUUGCUGUCCAAAGACAAUGGUUAGUACAUAGCAAAAGACCGUGAGGAGCACUACGGAAGCUGAUCCAUGGCACAGGAGGUUCGCUUUCAGGGUCGAAUUGCUGAGACGACAUGGGUGGAGAGGGGCGACUCCAUUGGCGGUGAUGGAGUUGCUGAUGCGACCCAUGAACAGGUAACAUCAGUAUCGUUUUUGGAAGUAGGGUGUUUUAAUUCGCGAUUUGUUGAUUGCUUGCUUUUUUCUUGCAAUGGAGGGUCGCAGAUUCCCCUUUCUGGAGGAAUUGCAUGAGAGCGCAACCCCGAUGGAACCGGCAGCGUUCACGGUGGUUCGUUUGGUACCGGCUGCCGAGUAAUCGACGGGACUAGCCAUGAGCGCGGACAAGCAGGUUGUGAGGAAGACAUGGCAAAAGGUGUGAGAUGAAAGGCGUCGCCGCAGGUGUCCGAGAUGUCCACCGGGAAGAUGAAGUUCCUACAGUCCUACAGGCACCUGGUUGGGCUAAGAGGUGUCUUUCCCUAAAUCAAUCAAAUCGGUAUGCAUUGAAUUUUUGUUGUUGAGCGAUUAGGAGUGAUGCUGUCAUAUGUGUAUUGACGUCCCCUUGGGGUUCAGAACAUUCAGACAAGUAGUUGAUGCUGUUCUUAAGUAGUGUACGGUUAUGAAUGGAUGAUGAUCUAUCCAUCUUGGAGCAUGUUGUUACUAAUUCAAGGUUGUUGUACAAUUGGUUAUGAGUUACGAUUUAUGGGGAGUGCUUUGUAGUUAGUUCAUGUAUGAGUCUUGUUGGAUGCUUGCUUCUGAAUUUAGCUGUGCAAUGGAAUCGAGAUCAUGAUGCUCAA